rnacentral:rRNA from 1 species
GAUGAACGCUAGCUACAGGCUUAACACAUGCAAGUCGAGGGACCGGCGCACGGGUGAGUAACACGUAUCCAACCUGCCCUUUACUCGGGGAUAGCCUUUCGAAAGAAAGAUUAAUACCCGAUGUAAAGGAUGGGGAUGCGUUCCAUUAGGUUGUUGGUGAGGUAACGGCUCACCAAGCCGUCGAUGGAUAGGGGUUCUGAGAGGAAGGUCCCCCAGAUUGGAACUGGGACACGAUCCAAACGCCUACGGGAGGCAGCAGUGAGGAAUAUUGGUCAAUGGGCGUUAGCCUGAACCAGCCAAGUAGCGUGAAGGAUGAAGGCUUAUGGGUCGUAAACUUCGUUUAUAUAAGAAUAUGUAUUAUAUGAAUAAGGAACGGCUAACUCCGUGCCAGCAGCCGCGGUAAUAC